UAGGGAAUCUUUGGCAAUGGACGAAAGCCUGACCGAGCAACGCCGCGUGAGUGAAGAAGGCUUUCGGAUCGUAAAACUCUGUUGUUAGAGAAGAACAAGGACGUUAGUAACUGAACGUCACCUGACGGUAUCUAACCAGAAAGCCACGGCUAACUACGUGCCAGCAGCCGCGGUAAUACGUAGGUGGCAAGCGUUGUCCGGAUUUAUUGGGCGUAAAGCGAGCGCAGGCGGUUUCUUAAGUCUGAUGUGAAAGCCCCCGGCUCAACCGGGGAGGGUCAUUAGAAACUGGAAGACUUGAGUGCAGAAGAGGAGAGUGGAAUUCCAUGUGUAGCGGUGAAAUGCGUAGAUAUAGGGAGGAACACCAGUGGCGAAGGCGGCUCCAUGGACUGAAACUGACGCUGAGGCUCGAAAGCGUGGGGAGCAAACAGG
rnacentral:rRNA from 1 species